rnacentral:misc_RNA from 1 species
UAACUUGUUGUGACCGAUGCAAAUGUGUGACACCCCUCAAGACUUGCUUCCUGCAAUGGCUGCCAAGGCUGCGUUGUUUCUGGUUACUUCUUUUCUCUUACUUACUGCUGCAAAGGCUUCAUAUCCCAGUGAAGAGUUCUUGCAGAAGAUCACUUAUUCCAAAAUACUAGUCGCCCCAACACCAGCUCCUGUACCACCAGUCGCCAAGAAUCCCACUCCUGCACCCGCAGUCAAGGCACCAACUCCUCCUUACCCACCAGUGGUCAAGCCCCCAACUCCUGACCCGCCAAUAGUCAAGCCACCGACUCCUACACCACCAGUGGUUAAGCCACCGACUCCUUCUCCACCAGUAGUCAAGCCCCC